rnacentral:lncRNA from 1 species
GUUCCCCGUGGUUGUAGGAUUCGAGACCCUGAAAUUGUGUGAUUCGUGGAGAUGAAGUACGUUUCCUGAGACGGAGCUUAUUUUGGAAACAGAGCGGUGAUAAUAAACGAGUUUUUUUUUUUUUUUUUUUUUUUUUUUGAAGAUUUUAUCGUAGUUCCGUGUAGUGGUAGGGUGGGUCAUGUCAUGAGACAACUGCCAUUUGGAGCCUGGACUGUAGAGAUAUGAGAAAUGAAAAGUGACUUGGUUUAUUGUUAUUGUUUUCUUCUUUUUUUAAAAGAAG